GGACACAAGCUUGAAGAAGUGAUAUAAACUCACCUUGGCAUCUUGAUUUCAACGAGGUCAGUGUAAAUUAUCACUGCUGAACAAACAGACUGCAUUAAUGUCUAGACAUUGUGGGAGUCCCAUGUCAACUCAGUGGAACGGUAUAGCUGUGACGAAUCCUGGGGAGUCUGGGCAGCAUUGCCAACCUGGAAGCUUUGGCUAAUUUCCUGAACUUUUCUGUGCAGAAACAAUAGUGAUGCAUCAUAGCAGAAGUAAAAGGAAGAGAAAAUAACAGACUCCAGAUCAGCAUUGUCUCUACUGACUCAGACCUGGGGAGGCAAAUCUAUUGAGUUGCCACUCUUCUCUUUUAUAAAAAUAUGAGCAUUUGCCUUAUAAGA